AGGACCUGUAAUGUAUUUGAUUGAACUGGAGUUAGGAAGAUGUUCUUUGUAUGUGUUAAUUAAGUCCUUGUGAGCAGGCAAAGGCUCGAGCUGCAGGCUUGUGGAAUUUGUUUCUUCUGGAUGAGAGUGGCCUCUCUCAGCUGGAUUAUGCUCAUAUCACAGAGAAGACCGGACACUGCUUCUACGCCCCCAAAGUCUUUAAUUUCCAGGCCCCAGACACUGGCAAUAUGAAAGUUCUGCACCUGUUUGGCACUGAGGAACAGAAAAGACUCUGGCUGGAGCCCUUACUAAGAGGAGACAUAUGGUCCUGCUUCUGUAUAACAGAGCCGGAUGUUGAUUCAAGUGACGCCACAAAGAGUGCACAAAGACCAUUUUAUCAUUAAUGGCAAAAAGUGGUGGAGCAGUGGUAAGCAUGUGAAUGUUACAGAAUGAGAAUGAAAGUUGGAGUGGAGAGGAAAUAUUUUGUUUGUCAGUUGCCAGGAAAAUAAAUUGUGAUUUUUAGGGUUUCACUCUUGUGAAUUCACUUGAAAACUGAAUCAUCAUGACUCAUCUUUGAGUCAUUUUCAAACUGAAUAAGCUGAAAUUAACAGUCUGUACUCAAAGUGGUAAACUCACCCUCCCUUGCUUUCAUUUUCAUUCAUAUUUUUAGGAAAGCUGACCACAGGCAUUCGUAAUUGCAUUUUUACGUGUGGAGCAGCACUUGCACGACACAAAGAUUAAAAACGAUCUUUAUGUGAUGAAAGGCAGUUUUAAGGUUUAUUGUGGGGAGAUAACAUCAAUGAUUAGAGUUUAAACUUGCAGUUCAUCCUGUUUACAAUGCCCAGGGUUGUUUUUCAAUCUGUAUUGGAUGUUUAGAGUUGCUUUGGUAUUUUUCUCUUAGACAGUGUCUCUUAUAGAACAUUCCAGAUGGUUCUAUCUGUGGGUCUUUGUGGUUUCGGGGCCUUCUAAAUUAAACAUCCUCAAAGCACGACAAAGGACCAAAGGCCUGUUGUUCUCUGUAUCAUCAUACCAAAUUAACUCCAUAAAGUCUGAACUUAUGUUUAACUGCUACAGCAAAUCUCAGUUCUAUACAACACAUUAUUGUUAUGGUAAUGAGUGUUUGAAAUCGAUAUGAACCAAAACUGACCUGCUUAACCUGUUUAAUAUGCAUUUUUUGUUCUUACUUUGAGUGAUUUAUUGGUGCACAUUA